GAUGAACGCUGGCGGCGUGCCUAACACAUGCAAGUCGAACGGACAGACGCUGCGCUUGUGCCUUUGACGAUAGCGGCGGGCGGGAGAGUAACACGUGUAUCACCCACUUAUCUUUCUGGGAUAAUCACGGAACACCGGAUCUUAUACCAGAUAAUAUACUGCACCGCAGGGUGCAAUGGUAAAUGACGGCUUUUGUGUCUGUACUAGAGGCUUACGCGCUGGAUUAGCUAGUUGGUAGGGUAACGGCCUACCAAGGCUACUAUGCGUAACCGAGCGGUGGGGCGGAUCGGCCACACGGGAACGGAGACACGGACCAGACUCCUAAGGGAGGCAGCAGUAGGGAAUGUGCGGCAAUGGGGGGAAGCCUGACGCAGCAAGGCCGAGUGAGUGGUGAAGGCCUUGGGUGCGUAAAGCCGUGUUAUUGGGUAAGAACAGCUGUGUCCGUAGACGUAGCGGUCUUGACGGUACCUAAUCAAGAAGCAACGGCUAACUACGUG
rnacentral:rRNA from 1 species